rnacentral:rRNA from 1 species
GGAAUGGAUAAGCGCUGAAAGCAUCUAAGCGCGAAGCCAACUUCAAGAUAAGAUUUCCCACCGCAAGGGUAAGACCCCAGAAAGACUAUCUGGUUGAUAGGUCGAAGGUGGAAGUGCAGCAAGGUAUUUAGCUUAUCGAUACUAAUAGGUCGAGGACUUGACCAAU